UUCUCCACCCCUGUCUUCCUGUAGGGCCUGCAGGAAAAAGAUGACGAGGGAGGAACUUUGCUAGGAGAGUUCACCUUCACGCCAGGCCAGACUCCCAGUCAGACCUUCCAGCUGAAGAAUGAGCACUCUGGGCUCAUCAAUUACGUAAAGCUGCAAGUGCUGAGCAACUGGGGCCACCCGGACUACACCUGUGUGUGUCAAUUCAGGCUCCACGGCAAUCCAGCUCAUGAUGAUGAAGAUAAGGGAAAACUUUACCUGUCACGGAGGAAUCUAUAGGUCUGAGCCCAUGACAGGGGUGCAAACCCAGGGGACGAGCGGCAAAAAAGCGAGUGGCAAAAGAAAUUACCCUACCUACCUACUAACAGCGCGGCACAUCCGGCCCCGGCUCUGUGACUAACAAGGCAAGGCAUGAUGUGGGCCAUGCGCUCCAGGAGAGGGGGGAGGGAGAUAACACAUGCGUCUAACAAAAAAAAAA